rnacentral:tRNA from 1 species
ACGCCUUUAGUUCAGGGGUAGAACGCCGGUUUCCAAAACCGGAUGUCGUGGGUUCAAAUCCUACAGGGCGUG